CUACUCUAGAACUUUCUCCAGCUGUCGGUAGGUCUACUCUAGAACUUUCUCCAGCUGUCGGUAGGUCUACUCUAGAACUUUCUCCAGCUGUCAGUAGGUCUACUCUAGAACUUUCUCCAGUUGUCAGUAGGUCUACUCUAGAACUUUCUCCAGUUGUCAGUAGGUCUACUCUAGAACUUUCUCCAGUUGUCGGUAGGUCUACUCUAGAACUUUCUCCAGUAGUCAGUUGGUCUA